rnacentral:rRNA from 1 species
CCUACGGGAGGCUGCAGUGAGGAAUAUUGGUCAAUGGGCGCGAGCCUGAACCAGCCAAGUAGCGUGAAGGAUGACGGCCCUACGGGUUGUAAACUUCUUUUAUAAAGGAAUAAGGUGAGGCACGUGUGCCAUUAUGUAUGUACUUUAUGAAUAAGGAUCGGCUAACUCCGUGCCAGCAGCCGCGGUAAUACGGAGGAUCCGAGCGUUAUCCGGAUUUAGUGGGUUUAAAGGGAGCGUAGAUGGGUUGUUAAGGCAGUUGUGAAAGUUUGCGGCUCAACCGUAAAAUUGCUCUUGAUACUGGCAGCCUUGCGUACAGUUGAGGUAGGCGGAAUUCGUGGUGUAGCGGU